CAGUAACACCCUGUUCUUUAGCUCUGCUCGGAGUCCAGAUGGGAAAAGCCUUGAGGAGGAUGACUCAGAACGGUGCACAGCUCCUCUUGGUAUAUGCAUCUCUUCUUUCUGUCUGUGUCCUUACUGUCAUUGUGCCAUUUCAGAGCUGUCUUGAACAAAGGGCUCCCAGACGCCGUGUGGUUGAAGUGAGGGCAAGGACGUCAUUUGUCAGCCAAGAUGGUGUCAACUUGAAUAGACAGCAAGAUGGCAUCAUGGGAGGAACCUACAGAGUGGCAGGGAAUCUAUGGCUUACUAUACUGAAUGGCGAGCGGUGGUUCAGGCAGACCAGCGAUUUGGCUGUGACACUGUCAGGUGUGUGCCUGUGUGCUUUCUGGACCACAUUCCUCUAUCAUCUCCUAUGACAUACAAUACCAUCAGAGUGAUCCAAUAGCCACAGUAAAAGCCCCAGACAGUACAUACUGUAAAAGCAUACAUUUAGCAGAUGAGUUAAAGCAGUACUCAUGUGACAUAUUUGUGUGUUGGAGGCAUGUGACUCAUUUUAAGACAGGAAGGAGAGCAGUGCUCAUCAGGACAAGAGUGUGCUGCUUUAUUAGAGUUUUGACAAUGUUUCCUUAGUAACCAUUUUCAAUUG